CAUCCAAUAUCUGACUGAG
rnacentral:misc_RNA from 1 species